AUUGAACGCUGGCGGCAUGCCUUACACAUGCAAGUCGAGCGGCAGCGCGGGGGCAACCCUGGCGGCGAGCGGCGCACGGGUGAGUAAUACAUCGGAACGUGUCCUUUUGUGGGGGAUAACCAGUCGAAAGACUGGCUAAUACCGCAUGAGAUCUCACGAUGAAAGCGGGGGACCGCAAGGCCUCGCGCGAUUGGAGCGGCCGAUGUCGGAUUAGCAGUUGGCGGGGUAAAAGCCCACCAAGGCGACGAUCCGUAGCUGGUUUGAGAGAACGACCAGCCACACUGGGACUGAGACACGGCCCAGACUCCUACGGGAGGCAGCAGUGGGGAAUUUUGGACAAUGGGGGCAACCCUGAUCCAGCCAUGCCGCGUGUGUGAAGAAGGCCUCGG
rnacentral:rRNA from 1 species